rnacentral:rRNA from 1 species
UAGGGAAUCUUCCGCAAUGGACGCAAGUCUGACGGAGCAACGCCGCGUGAGUGAAGAAGGAUUUCGGUUCGUAAAACUCUGUUGUUAGAGAAGAACAGCGCAUAGAGUAACUGUUAUGCGUGUGACGGUAUCUAACCAGAAAGCCACGGCUAACUACGUGCCAGCAGCCGCGGUAAUACGUAGGUGGCAAGCGUUGUCCGGAUUUCUUGGGCGUAAAGCGAGCGCAGGCGGUCAAUUAAGUCUGAUGUGAAAGCCCCCGGCUCAACCGGGGAGGGUCAUUGGAAACUGGGUGACUUGAGUGCAGAAGAGGAGAGCGGAAUUCCAGGUGUAGCGGUGAAAUGCAUAGAUAUAUUGAGGAACACCAGUGGCGAAGGCGACUCUCUGGUCUGUAACUGACGCUGAGGCUCGAAAGCGUGGGUAGCAAACAGG